AUGAACGCUAGCGGCAGGCUUAACACAUGCAAGUCGAGGGGCAGCAUAAUGGAUAGCAAUAUCUAUGGUGGCGACCGGCGCACGGGUGCGUAACGCGUAUGCAACCUACCUUUAACAGGGGGAUAACACUGAGAAAUUGGUACUAAUACCCCAUAAUAUCAUAGAAGGCAUCUUUUAUGGUUGAAAAUUCCGAUGGUUAGAGAUGGGCAUGCGUUGUAUUAGCUAGUUGGUGGGGUAACGGCUCACCAAGGCGACGAUACAUAGGGGGACUGAGAGGUUAACCCCCCACACUGGUACUGAGACACGGACCAGACUCCUACGGGAGGCAGCAGUGAGGAAUAUUGGUCAAUGGACGCAAGUCUGAACCAGCCAUGCCGCGUGCAGGAUGACGGCUCUAUGAGUUGUAAACUGCUUUUGUACGAGGGUAAACGCAGAUACGUGUAUCUGUCUGAAAGUAUCGUACGAAUAAGGAUCGGCUAACUCCGUGCCAGCAGCCGCGGUAAUACGGAGGAUUCAAGCGUUAUCCGGAUUUAUUGGGUUUAAAGGGUGCGUAGGCGGUUUGAUAAGUUAGAGGUGAAAUUUCGGGGCUCAACCCUGAACGUGCCUCUAAUACUGUUGAGCUAGAGAGUAGUUGCGGUAGGCGGAAUGUAUGGUGUAGCGGUGAAAUGCUUAGAGAUCAUACAGAACACCGAUUGCGAAGGCAGCUUACCAAACUAUAUCUGACGUUGAGGCACGAAAGCGUGGGGAGCAAACAGGAUUAGAUACCCUGGUAGUCCACGCCGUAAACGAUGGAUACUAGGUGUAGGAGGUAUCGACCCCUUCUGUGCCGGAGUUAACGCAAUAAGUAUCCCGCCUGGGAAGUACGAUCGCAAGAUUAAAACUCAAAGGAAUUGACGGGGGCCCGCACAAGCGGUGGAGUAUGUGGUUUAAUUCGACGCAACGCGAAGAACCUUACCAAGUCUUGACAUCCCGAUGACAAGCUAUGUAAUGUAGCCUCUCUUCGGAGCAUCGGUGACAGGUGGUGCAUGGUUGUCGUCAGCUCGUGCCGUGAGGUGUCGGGUUAAGUCCCAUAACGAGCGCAACCCCUACCGUUAGUUGCCAUCAGGUCAAGCUGGGCACUCUGGCGGGACUGCCGGUGUAAGCCGAGAGGAAGGUGGGGAUGACGUCAAAUCAGCACGGCCCUUACGUCCGGGGCUACACACGUGUUACAAUGGUAGGUACAGAGGGCAGCUACCCAGCGAUGGGAUGCGAAUCUCGAAAGCCUAUCUCAGUUCGGAUUGGAGGCUGAAACCCGCCUCCAUGAAGUUGGAUUCGCUAGUAAUCGCACAUCAGCCAUGGCGCGGUGAAUACGUUCCCGGGCCUUGUACACACCGCCCGUCAAGCCAUGGGAGCCGGGGGUGCCUGAAGUUCGUGACCGCAAGGAGCGACCUAGGGCAAAACUGGUGACUGGGGCU
rnacentral:rRNA from 1 species